rnacentral:guide_RNA from 1 species
UAAACGUACAUACUAUAUUCUCUAUUGAUAUAUGAAGUGAUAAUU